AUUUUCUUAGUAUAAUUAGUACCAUUGACUUCCAAUCAAUAAGAUCCGUAAAACACGGGAGAAAAUA
rnacentral:tRNA from 1 species